UUUGGGGCUUGUGUGAUCAUCAGACAAGCUCACAUGAAUUCGUUUCUAAAUCAGAAAAAAAGGUGAUAACACAUCAGCCAUUGCGACACGAGUUUGUAACCCCUGCUGCAAUUAAUGAAGUAAUCAUAACUAUAAAAUGAAACCAAGAAUUGUGAAAAAAUUUCAUGUAUUAUUGGAAUUACAAUCAAGCAAACUUUU